UGAACUUAAUCGAAAACAGCUUCAAGAUAUUUCUAUCGCAGUCGUCAGUAGCAUGUCAAGCAUUUGCACGAAAGCAAUGUACAUUGAAAAGCACACUGUGUUCCCAUCAUUAACAAGAAAGGAAAACACAAUGACUAGUAGAGACUCCAUCAUAAAAGAUACAAUGAUUCAAUCCAGAAGAACGAAAACACCACGAUUUAUACAGAGUCCAUUAUGAAACACACGAUGUUCCCAUCAACAAGAACGAAAACACCAUUACUAAUACAGAAUCCGUCAUGAAACAAACGAUCUUCCCAUCAACGACAACGAGAAACAUCACAACUAAUACAGAGUCCAUCAUGAAAGACACAAUGUUCCCAUCAACAACAAAGACAAACACCACAACCAAUACGAAAGGUUUGUCACAUGUGAAAGUCGAAAACAAUAAGACAGAAAGCUCGAAACGAAAUAAAGCUGGGAAACGUCGGCCAAUGAUCCUUCACUUUAUUUUGGUUUUGACUUUUUUACUCAAAUAAUUUGCAUUGAGGUCAUUAACUGUGGUGCUUCUUUUCUAUAACGUAACGACAAAACCAAAAAAAUUAAAAAUAGGUGCGAACGGGUACGUGCAGAUAGCCCGGAUCUUGUGAUUUUAUAUUUUCUAGUUUCGAAAACUGGAAAAACAAGCAAUGUAUAUGCUGGAAUAAUAAUGGUUUAUCUUUUUAUUUAUCAGAA